GAUCGCUGAGUUUAAAAUACACUCUCGACGCGUCGGACCGAUAUGUUAACGAAAGUCGUAAAAUCGAGAACAACGCGAGUGGCUGGAUUAUUGUCGAAAUCGUACGGUUAUUUAUCACCACUGGUGAUAAAUCUACACGUCAAAAUCGUUCAGUAUUCGUUAAAUUCGAAACAAGAACCUCUCCGCAGGUAAAAAUGCAUACCAUCUUUGCGCUUUUCGUUAUAACGAGCGGCUUCAUCACGGAGAUGUGUGCCAACUAUUUAAGGGACAGAUUACCAAAUCUACAUACAUGUCCGAAAUCGCGACUCCAAGCAUGCUUACCGCGAAGCUUGGAUUCGAUGAGGCCUUACUUAGCGCAGAGUGUUCCGUAACUAAAUAUAGAUUCUUUCGAAAUUCCGUAAUUAAGUAUACCUUCUUUCGAGCCAUAUUAUACGCAAUUUUAUAAGAUGACCUUCGAAAACCAGUAUAUCCCUAUGAUAAAGUUUAGUGAUACAUAUAUCAACGGUAUAUCAAACUUCACGAUAACUAGAGUCAGAGUUGUCGAGGAUCAUUAUAUUGAGUUUCUGGCGCACUUUCCAUUCGUCAGUGUGUCCACAAGUUCAAUGCAUACGUCUCAUAUGCGUCUCCUACGCUUAUUAAAAAUAGCAGAUACAGAUUAAAUAGCAAUUUUACGAACGUCGUUGCUGAAAUUAUUAUACGAGGCAGGCAUUUUGAGGACGAAGAACAAUAUUUUUACGUGAACAACGUCACCGUGGCAAUCUUAAAGUUUGAAGGGAUGAAGACUAAUAAACAACAAAGAGGUACACCCGAAAACGUAACGCAGUUGGCAAAUGAUUAUCUUGCACUUGAGUGGGAUCCAUUGACUUACGAAAUAAUUUAUAACAUCAAAAACAUUGCAGCUGAGCUCAUCCAGACCAUUUGGAAUAGGAUUUACACGAAUUUCCCAACUGUUAUGUUAACGUCUCGUUAAAACGCAUCGUCUUGAUUUUAUUGUCAUGAUGAAGAGAUUAAUCAUUUUAUAAUGAGUGUAACUUGCUAGCACAAUUAGUUGUGCAUUACUUAUUUAUUAUUUUGAUACGGAGAUUCGUAUACGCUGCUUUAGAAAAUGGCUUUUUCUUCCAAUGGAGUUCGGUGCGCAUCAAAUGCGAACGAAUGCUCGCGGGUUUGCGGUUGUGACAGAACUCGCAUGAUAGUACACUAUGCACACAGUGCCUCUUUAUUGUACUUUCAUUCAAUGGAUAAAAGUAUGAUAAAAAUACCUAUGUUCCACGCGUUUUCUUCGUUAUACUUGCAAUGUUAGAUAUCUCGUAUACCAUCACUUCGGCUUUCGUCAUAACUGAUGAAGCUCGCGAGUUGUCGCUUGUAAUUAGAACCAUUUCGCGUUACCAAUCUUAUCGGUAAUAAUAUAUAUAUAGAUCCUUCCUAGACCUAAAGAUUCUACGCUAAAGGACCUUACGCUUUGUAAAUUUGGAUAUACGAAAUACGAUUGUAAACUUGGAACUGAAACAAUCUGGACAAUUUUUUUUCGGAGCAUUUUUCAACACCAGUCAAUGGUUCAAUAAGACAAAUUAUUUUUUAGCGGUCCAAAAAUAAAUUCUUUCAUUGAAGCAUCAGCUGUAUCUUAAACAACAUCCAGAACAAUUUUGUCCUGACUGUAAAAUAAAUUCGAGUAUAUAAUUAUCCGGAAAGUACGCGUAUACUUGAGAAUUUCUAGAAAGAAAAGAAUACGUGCAAUAAGCGAGAUAUUUGUUUUCCUCGCAGAGAAAAAAAUCCAUGUAAGAGCGUUUGCAAUAUUGCGUUUGCGAUAUUUUUUCUUCGCGUGAAUAACGGCGCUUAGAUUAUACAAAUUUAUUUGUAAAUUUAACCAACGCAAUAAAGAGUUAUGCACGUA